GUCCUUUGCUCCAGAUGAAUGAUACAAAUAUAGUCUCUGUGCCAGUGCCAGAAUUUUGAAAUUGUUGUCAGUAGACUGUGCCCAAGCAUAGAAAUAUCACAAGUGUGAUGUCACAGGAUCCCGAGUGUGGAAAUAUUCUCCAAGUUGAGAAAUGUAUGGGAGUUGAGGAUUUGUUUGUUGUUGAUUUUUUUGUUUGUUUCAUUCUUUGAAAGAAGCAAGUUCUAAAAGAAUUGCAUAGCCGAGGUACACCUUUCUAAAUAAAAGGUGUUUGAUGCAGUAUCUUCUGCUUGCAUUCUGUUUCAGCUGUUUCAUUCAGUAUGUUUCACAUCGGAUUUGUGCUGCUGUCAAAGAGAAGCCAUUAUCUGAUUUGAAACAGGGAUGCUUGGCAAGACGUUUCGGGCAAUCCGGAUGGAUAUGUGUUUGCUUUUGCCCUACUUUCAUUCUACUCAGAAUUCGGAAUGAUAACCAUCUCACAGAUCUCAAUACGUGCUUCCAUUCCAGCAAAAGAUCAAGCAUUGAGUGAUUGUCACCCAAAGGACAUAGCAAAACACAGUGAUGUUACAUCUCAUUCUCUGACUGAACAUCAUGAAUCUGGUACCUCAACACAGCACCCCAGAGCUUCCAGGCCAAGGAAUACUGUACACAAUCAGCAUGUUAUUAAUGAGUGAGCUACAUGCUGCUAGGCAUAUUCUUAAAGACCUAGCAAACUCCUGAGGUGACUCCCGGUUCACCUGAUGUUGGCACCAAUACUUGCCUCACAGCCCUAUGCUAAAUGUUCUUGUCCUCUCUCCUCCAUGCUAUUGUGUUAGAUAUGCGGAAAGAAUUCAUCUGUGGGCCAUCUUGAAAGAAUUCUCCCACUUUCUCUAUGACAUGAAUAUGGAAGGACCUCUAUUUUUGCUUUUUAUCUUUUUAAAUGAAACUUGCUGUUUUCAGACAUGCUUUGAUGUAGCA
rnacentral:lncRNA from 1 species